rnacentral:rRNA from 1 species
CCUACGGGAGGCAGCAGUGAGGAAUAUUGCGCAAUGGGCGGAAGCCUGACGCAGCGACGCCGCGUGAGGGAUGAAGGUUUUCGGAUCGUAAACCUCUGUUAAGCAGGGAAGAGAACGGACGGUACCUGCUGAGGAAGCAUCGGCUUACUACGUGCCAGCAGCCGCGGUAAU